AACGAACGCUGGCGGCAUGCCUAGCACAUGCAAGUCGAACGAGACCUUCGGGUCUAGUGGCGCACGGGUGCGUAACGCGUGGGAACCUGCCCUUAGGUUCGGAAUAACUCCCCGAAAGGGGUGCUAAUACCGGAUAAUGUCUUCGGACCAAAGAUUUAUCGCCUUUGGAUGGGCCCGCGUUGGAUUAGCUAGUUGGUAGGGUAAAAGCCUACCAAGGCGACGAUCCAUAGCUGGUCUGAGAGGAUGAUCAGCCACACUGGGACUGAGACACGGCCCAGACUCCUACGGGAGGCAGCAGUGGGGAUUAUUGGACAAUGGGCGAAGGCCUAAUCCAGCAUUGCCGCGUGGGUGAUGAAGGCCUUGGGGUUGUAAAGCUCUUUACCCGGGAUGAUAAUGACAGUACCGGGAGAAUAAGCGCCGGCUAACUCCGUG
rnacentral:rRNA from 1 species